rnacentral:rRNA from 1 species
GAUGAACGCUGGCGGCGUGCCUAAUACAUGCAAGUCGAGCGAACGGACGAGAAGCUUGCUUUUCUGAUGUUAGCGGCGGACGGGUGAGUAACACGUGGAUAACCUACCUAUAAGACUGGGAUAACUUCGGGAAACCGGAGCUAAUACCGGAUAAUAUUUUGAACCGCAUGGUUCAAAAGUGAAAGACGGUCUUGCCGUCACUUAUAGAUGGAUCCGCGCUGCAUUAGCUAGUUGGUAAGGUAACGGCUUACCAAGGCAACGAUGCAUAGCCGACCUGAGAGGGUGAUCGGCCACACUGGAACUGAGACACGGUCCAGACUCCUACGGGAGGCAGCAGUAGGGAAUCUUCCGCAAAGGGCGAAAGCCUGACGGAGCAACGCCGCGUGAGUGAUGAAGGUCUUCGGAUCGUAAAACUCUGUUAUUAGGGAAGAACAUAUGUGUAAGUAACUGUGCACAUCUUGACGGUACCUAAUCAGAAAGCCACGGCUAACUACGUG